CAGCAGCCGCGGUAAUACGGAGGGAGCUAGCGUUGUUCGGAAUUACUGGGCGUAAAGCGCACGUAGGCGGUUAUUCAAGUCAGAGGUGAAAGCCCGGGGCUCAACCCCGGAACUGCCUUUGAAACUAGAUGACUAGAAUCUUGGAGAGGUCAGUGGAAUUCCGAGUGUAGAGGUGAAAUUCGUAGAUAUUCGGAAGAACACCAGUGGCGAAGGCGACUGACUGGACAAGUAUUGACGCUGAGGUGCGAAAGCGUGGGGAGCAAACAGGAUUAGAUACCCCAGUAGUCCCUGUCUCUUAUAC
rnacentral:rRNA from 1 species